rnacentral:rRNA from 1 species
UACGUAGGGUGCGGGCGUUGUCCGGAAUUAUUGGGCGUAAAGGGCUCGUAGGCGGUUUGUCGCGUCGGGAGUGAAAACUCAGGGCUUAACCCUGAGCCUGCUUCCGAUACGGGCAGACUAGAGGUAUGCAGGGGAGAACGGAAUUCCUGGUGUAGCGGUGAAAUGCGCAGAUAUCAGGAGGAACACCGGUGGCGAAGGCGGUUCUCUGGGCAUUACCUGACGCUGAGGAGCGAAAGUGUGGGGAGCGAACAGG